GAUGGCCGAUGGGCCUCAACAGGUUACUGACGUCAGCCAAACUCCGAAUGCCGGUGAGUGAGAGCGCAGCAGUGAGACGGUGGGGGAUAAGCUUCAUCGUCGAGAGGGAAACAACCCAGACUACCAACUAAGGUCCCUAAGCGUGUGCUAAGUGGGAAAGGAUGUGGAGUUGCACAGACAACCAGGAGGUUGGCUUAGAAGCAGCCAUCCUU
rnacentral:rRNA from 14 species